UGGCUCAGAGCGAACGCUGGCGGCAGGCCUAACACAUGCAAGUCGAACGGACCCUUCGGGGUUAGUGGCGGACGGGUGAGUAACACGUGGGAACGUGCCCUUUGGUUCGGAACAACACAGGGAAACUUGUGCUAAUACCGGAUAAGCCCUUCGGGGGAAAGAUUUAUUGCCAAAGGAGCGGCCCGCGUUGGAUUAGGUAGUUGGUGAGGUAAAGGCUCACCAAGCCUGCGAUCCAUAGCUGGUCUGAGAGGAUGAUCAGCCACAUUGGGACUGAGACACGGCCCAAACUCCUACGGGAGGCAGCAGUGGGGAAUCUUGCGCAAUGGGCGAAAGCCUGACGCAGCCAUGCCGCGUGAAUGAUGAAGGUCUUAGGAUUGUAAAAUUCUUUCAGCGGGGACGAUAAUGACGGUACCCGCAGAAGAAGCCCCGGCUAACUUCGUGCCAGCAGCCGCGGUAAUACGAAGGGGGCUAGCGUUGCUCGGAAUUACUGGGCGUAAAGGGAGCGUAGGCGGAUAGUUUAGUCAGAGGUGAAAGCCCAGGGCUCAACCUUGGAAAUGCCUUUGAUACUGGCUAUCUUGAGUAUGGGAGAGGUAAGCGGAAUUCCGAGUGUAGAGGUGAAAUUCGUAGAUAUUCGGAAGAACACCAGUGGCGAAGGCGGCUUACUGGCCCAUUACUGACGCUGAGGCUCGAAAGCGUGGGGAGCAAACAGGAUUAGAUACCCUGGUAGUCCACGCUGUAAACGACGAGUGCUAGUUGUCGGCAUGCAUGCAUGUCGGUGACGCAGCUAACGCCUUAAGCACUCCGCCUGGGGAGUACGGUCGCA
rnacentral:rRNA from 1 species